CAGAAUGCUCUAUAUGGACUUGGGCUUUAUGCAGAAUAUGAUGGUUCUGUUUUCAAACCUUAUGUUAGAGAGGCUAUUUCACGGAUCAAUGUAGUGAUAAUGCAUUUACGUGCUCGUGAACCUGAGAAUCAACUUGCAUAUGAUAAUGCUGUUUCUACACUUGGUAAAAUAUGUCAGUUUCAUCGAGAACUUAUCGAAUCAGCCCAGGUCAUUCCCAUUUGGUUGAAUUGCCUGCCUAUAAAAGGUGACCUUGCUGAAGCCAAAUAUGUUCAUGGUCAACUAUGUUCCAUGGUUGAAAGGU